CAGAAGACAAGUCCAAAGAGCCUGACGAAGGAAUCCACGACUUUUCCAUUGAAAUUAUAAGAAUGAUCUUUCAAGUGGAAAUUGUACCGGGAACUAAGGUUCUGGCCAAAAGUUUUGAGAUGGACUCACAGGAAAAGCUUACGGAGAUGUUCUGGCAGGGCGGAAACCCACACGGAGCGGACUCUUCUUCCAGGUGCAGAUGUACAGGACCUUGGAGGGAGUGUCCGAAGACCUGAGUUUGACCUGCAUUCUGCUUUUACUCACAAUAUAGCCUUGACCAAAUCAUA